UAGCCUUUCGAAAGAAAGAUUUAUAUCCGAUAGCAUAUAUUUCCCGCAUGGGUUUUAUACUAUAGAAAUUCGGUAUGAGAUGGGGAUGCGUUCCAUUAGUUUGUUGGGGGGGUAACGGCCCACCAAGACUACGAUGGAUAGGGGUUCUGAGAGGAAGGUCCCCCACAUUGGAACUGAGACACGGUCCAAACUCCUACGGGAGGCAGCAGUGAGGAAUAUUGGUCAAUGGACGCGAGUCUGAACCAGCCAAGUAGCGUGAAGGAUGACUGCCCUAUGGGUUGUAAACUUCUUUUAUAUGGGAAUAAAGUUGUCCACGUGUGGAUUUUUGUAUGUACCAUAUGAAUAAGGAUCGGCUAACUCCGUGCCAGCAGCCGCGGUAAUACGGAGGAUCCGAGCGUUAUCCGGAUUUAUUGGGUUUAAAGGGAGCGUAGGCGGAUUGUUAAGUCAGUUGUGAAAGUUUGCGGCUCAACCGUAAAAUUGCAGUUGAUACUGGCAGUCUUGAGUGCAGUAGAGGUGGGCGGAAUUCGUGGUGUAGCGGUGAAAUGCUUAGAUAUCACGAAGAACUCCGAUUGCGAAGGCAGCUCACUGGAGUGUAACUGACGCUGAUGCUCGAAAGUGUGGGUAUCAAGCAGGAUUAGAUACCCUGGUAGUCCACACAGU
rnacentral:rRNA from 1 species